rnacentral:pre_miRNA from 1 species
UAUAAGGGAUUUUGAGUUUUUGCUUGCAACGUUUGACCACUCGUCUUAUUCAAAUUUUUUUGAAAUUAUUAAUUAUUUUAUUUGUGACUUACUUUAUUAUCUACAGUACUUUAAGCAUAACUUUUCAUUUUUUAUAUUUGCAUAAAAAAUUUGAAUAAAACGAGUGGUCAAACAUUGCAAGCAAAAACUUAAAAUCCCUUAUA